GGGAAGGUGGCUCAGUGGUAGAGCACUUGCCUUGCAUGCCUGAGGCCCUGGGUUCUACACUCAGCCCUCUGU
rnacentral:tRNA from 1 species